CUCGCCUGCCGCCAUGUAAACGUUCUUUGCUCCUGCUUCGUCUUCUGCCGUGAUUGUGAGGCCUCCCCAGCCAUGUGGAACUACUCAUCACUCACUGCAGAUGUUACUUUAAGACAUUCUGGAGCAGCGUCAUGUGCAGGAACAAUAAGGAAGUGAGUGCUUUUGUAAUUCCUGAACAACUGUGUCUUACACUUACUAAGGGAUUCAUGGGCAAUAUGACUGAAUAGGAACAGCUCCAGUCUGAAGCUCCCAGUGAGACCAACAUAGAAGGCCUUUGAGCUUAUACUGAAUUAUACCACCAGCUUUCCUAGGUCUUGAAGCUUACAGACAGCAGAUCUUGGGACUUCUCAGGCACCAUAAUCAAUCAUAGAUAAAUGAUCCAAUGAUUCGGAACUUGAAAAGUGGUAGCUUUAUGAAUUCUCCUUAAGAAGAAACCUGUGCCCUGAUCUUGCCUACUCACCCAAAGGCACUGUGAGAUAGCAUCAAAGGAACAGCUAGUAAGAGACACAGAGCCAGAAAUCAGGGAAGUAAAAUACACUUGACAUCUACGUUCGGAAAGAAAUUUUAGGAGGCAGAAGCAAAUGGAUCAGAAGCUGCUUAUAUUUUUGCAAGAUUACCAAAGAAACCAUUGGUGGAGAAAGUUCUGUGACCAACUUGUCUGAGUCUAGCUCCGGAAAGCUGCCUAAAGUAGAUGGAGUCUUCUCUGUGUGUGCCCCACUGGUCCUGCAGUUGAAGGAUCCGGUAAAGCAGCCUGCCCUUGGUUUUAUACUCCAGAGGAACGUGAUUCGCUGGACUAAAGCAUUGAAGUGCAUCCUGUUUCCGGGGGGCACUGGAACAGAGCCUGGUCUGUUCUAGCCAGUCCCUUUCUAUCUCAGGAUAACAUUCUACAGUUAUUCUUGAGAACUAUAAUCAAAUAAGCAGGGAGAACUGGGUAAGUCCAAGGCUUAUCUAUACAAGCCGAAAGCAGAGGCUCAUUGUGGAACCCUCAAGGAGCAUGGGGUCGUCUUCAUCCCUCAGUUUAUAAAUGGCCAAGGAGAGUAAUGCAACAAAAACUUCUCAGAGUUAAAAGCCAGAGUUCCUAAAGAACCGUGGACAAAGGGUUCUGUCUAGUGGGCAGAAUUCAUCCAGCGAAGGUCUCCUAACUACAGAGGGUCACAUCUGGAUCUGAUGGCACCUACAGAACUUGGACUCUGAGCGACAAUCAGUGACCAGGUGUGACUUUAUAUUAUCUCUGUCAGGGAAGGGUGAGAGUUUUCAAUGUGUGAACAUAGAAUAAAAUGGUCUGGUGACCAAAAGGCUCUAUUAAAGAUAAUAUGAGAUGUUCAAAACACUGGCUAUUUUCUUGGGAACAAAAGUUGAACUUCUAAAUCUUUCUCACAGAUUGUAGACCAAAGGAAUGAAUUCUGAUUGGCAGAAUAUAAGCCUACGUAAUAUAAAAAAGACUUCCAGGUUUGGCCCUCUGAGUCUUGACUCAUUACACACCAUCUCACAGCCUUAUUUUGCCUUUCAACAGGAAAUUUGGAACCCAGGUUUUCCCAACCUACAUCUACAAAAUGGAAUGGGUCUGAUUCGCAAGUUUUCAGAGAAAGAAGCCAACCUUAAUCAGACUGUGAUAUGAUGAGGAAAUAAAACUUGCUGUGCUAAUCAACUGAUACUGGGAAGCAUGUUUAUUAUAAUAACAUAGUCUAUGCUUAACUUUUCUAAGAAACUAAUGAUCUGGAAUAUCGAUAAAAAGAAAAAAGAAAGAAAGCAAAAGGACAGAAAGUUUUAGUGAGAAUAUGUCACUAAAAGAAAAAUGCAAAAAUCUCCAGGUAAUUGUUCUUGUCUGUCACUAUAAUCAAAGUGGUAUUUCACCCCCAUCUGUUGUCCCUGCUUUGAUGAGUGAGAAUAGAAGAGCAGUUCAUGGUUACAUGUUGGCAACAGGAGCAUAUAAAUAUCAAAUUGCCUUAAGCACUGGCAAAGGCUUAAGAGUCCAUCCUAAAUUGAGGGAUUAUCCAGUACCCUGUUUAGAAUGGAAAUAAAUCCUUGCACAGUACUUUCAACUCAAUAACUGAAAAAAUGCAGAGAGCAAAUUCAACAAUUUGUAUUACCAACAGCCAGCUGAGUCCAACUUCCUAAAUCCAUAGGAAAACAGAAAAGCAGAAAAGCAGAAAAACAGGCAUCAGUAACUGUCCUAAAAAGUGAAGGACUCAGGAGGCUGAGGCAGCAGAAUCACUUGAACCCAGGAGGCAGAGGUUGCAGUGAGCCGAGAUGGUGCCACUGCACUCCAGCCUGGGUGACAGAGCGAGACUGUCUCAAAAAAAAAAAAAAAUGUGAAGGACUGAGGGAAAGAAACAGAAUAGACCAUAAUGAGUCAGAUGCGAGAUAAGAGAAGCAGGGCCCGGAACAUAUGCCCUCAGAUAGAAUAAGAACAAUAUCAAAGAUGAAAAUCCAAGAAAACACCUUGAGGAAAAUAAGAUGAUAGUAAUACUAAAUAUAUAUGUUAAAGGACUAAUUUUAAUGAGAUACAUUCACAUAGGUAGGAAGAAAAAUAAAUUCAAUGUGCAGAUAUUCCUUAUGUAUAUACCAAUGAAAGUAAAGAGACAGAUAAAAUAAGUCAGGCAAAUGCUAACGUAAGAAAAUAGAGUCACAUUAUUUAUUUUGUAAUUUGAUAUCUGAAUAUUAAAAACUUACACUUUCUAAUGUUCUAUAAUAAAUUCUAAAGUGCAGAUAUAACUCCCAUGAAUGUUGACACACUAAGUAACAGUAAAAUACAUUAAGCAAAUUAGAACUGUAAGAAAAAGGAAAGCAACACAGAAUAAAAACAAGACUCAGUAGGUGAUCUUUAUCUAGAAUCAGAACAAUUAAAAUAAAAUAAUGACUGGAGAAAAACUGAGGUAAGUACUAUGUUUAAUGCCUGUAAGCAAAUAUACGUAUUUUGAAUUGUGACAUGAUUAAAAGAGAAUGUAUGAUUUUCAAGUGUUCAUACAACACAUUGAAAAAUUAAGCAUAAACUCCCCGAAAUUCUUAUACCUAAAUGUCAUAAAAUAAGUACCAAUCAUACCAACUACUUUUCUGAACAUAAUGCAAUGAAAUCUAUAAAACAACUGAUAUUUUGUGGCUGUUUUUUACUGCAUCAAAAGAAGACUAAUAAAGCAAUGUAUUUACCCUGUGAAUGUAUAUGUUCAAAUAAUUUAUAUAGACUGUACGCAUAAUAUUCUUUUAAUUUUCUUUAUAUUUCUUCUUAUAUAUCCAUUUUCUAAAAUAGUGAGUUAUGCUUUUAUUCACUAGAUUUUUUCUGUUUAAAUUUGUUUAGGUAUUAUAUUUGAUAUUUUAUUAAUUUCCGUAUUGAUGUUUAUCAUUUACUUCUUCCAGUUUUCAAAUAUUUUAUGAUUAAAAUUAUAGAUCAUUGUUUUAAGACCAUCUUAUGUAAAUAGCAAAGGUUUGAUUUGUAAUGAUUUUAUAAAUAUACAUAUUUUAAUGUAAUCAAAUUGUUAAUAUGCUGGUCUACACAUUUGCCUUUAGUUUCCAUUUUUACCCAAGAUAUGCUAGACAAAUAUUUUCAUGUUAUUCUAAAGAUUAGAAUUUUUAUUUUGCUAUCAAUAGCUCUUUAAUCUCUUUCAUAUGUUCUAUCUGCCUAUAUCUCUGUGUGAUCUUUGUUAAACCCAUAUUCUGAGGUUUAGAUUUCCCAGCCACCCAAUACUGGUGGAAAUUCUGAUAGUUUUUGAAACCAUGUCUCAAGACUUGUCCCAUGGAACAUAAAGGGAAUCUCUAUUCUGUCAUUGGCUGGGAACUGCUCUAGGGUGUUUACAUCCCUGGCAAUUUUUAUUUUUCUCAUGUUGAGCCUGAAAGAAAGUCACUGAUCAUGAAAUGUGAGCAUGGACAGGGACAAUUAGUCCAAAGGGAAAAAUUAGAGACACUGACUGUUCCAUUAUACAUAACUAUAUACCUAGUCACUCAAUAUAAUGAAGAGUUUCAUAAUUAGUCAAAAUAAAGUUGAACCAUAUUAAUUCUACAUGGAACAAUUCAGAAUGAAUUUAGUCUGGGUAUAGAUGGUAAAGAGAAAAAGUGAAUUUAAUUAGAACACAAUUUCAAUCAAAUUAAGUCUUUGCAUGAGUUAUCAAGGACACAAUAAAUAAUUGAACAAUUCCAAAGUGUUACUUUCAUAGUAAUUUCAAAUAAUGCUCUAAUUAUCUCGAAUAUGUGUGUGCCAGAUAAAAAAACCUUCAGUUUUCUAGAGGAAGAGUUGAAAAUUGUGAGAAGAAAUAUUCAGAAAAAAAUAAAUGUUGAUUUAUUUGCCUUAACAAUUUAAGCUUACAUAAAUAAGUAUGGACAUAAAAAUAGAGUACCACACUGGCCAUACACAGCAUGCUUGAGAUCAAUCCAUAAGGAUAAAUAUAUACAUGUACUGUAUUCCUUUCAUUGCUACAUGUUACUUUUUGCAUCACCUCAUUUUAUGUAUUUAAAUUCAUUAGCCCCUAUGAAGUUAAUGUAUAAAAUAACUAUUUUUUUAUUUCUCUAAAAAUACUUUAUUGAAUAAUUUAUAAUUUCCCCUUAUAUUUAUAGUGAAACCACUGUUAUUUGAAGUUUGUAUAUGACUAUAAUUCUCCUCUGAUUAUAUCUGUUUUUCACUUUUUAAUUUUUAAUUAUUCUUGUAUCCCUCAAUGAACCUCAUUUAGUCAUUAUGCAUUCUUCUUUUUUUUUUUUCUUUUUUUUUCUGAGAUGGAGUUUCGCUCUUUUUGUCCAUGCUGGAGUGCAAUGGCGCUAUCUCAGCACCCUGAAACCUCUGCCUCCUGGGUCCAAGUGAUUCUCCUGCCUCAGCCUCCCAGGUACCUGGGAUUACAGGCAUGCGUCACCACGCCCAGCUAAUUUUUGUAUUUUUAGUAGAGGCAGGGUUUCCCCCAGUGGCUUUUACUGAUUCUGACACAGGCCAACUCUAAGCUUGAGACAGCAGUGGAAGGGUUUCUGUGGGUGAAACAGGCGUGUCUCAGGCUUGUCAGCCAGGUAUGACAAAAUAUGUCUUAGGUUUGAUUCUCAUAUGCAUGAUGACUACAAAUAUUUUUGCAAAUGUCAGUAUUUUAACUUCAUAUAUAAACAUAAAAUCUUCAAAACACUAACACAAAUUAGAGUGCUUCUAUCAAUGCUCAUAGCUAAACAUACCAGAGUAAAGAUUUUGCAUCAGCCUCCUUUUUUGAGUAAGAAGAAAAACAAUCAAACAAGCAAAUACAUCUCAAUCAUCAAUAAAAUGAGAAGUCAACCAUGACCACUAGCCACAAACUAUGAAGAAAGACUCACUAGUGCAGUGAAAAUUAAGUGUUGAAGUAAAGCAUGGUCUCAUACUUGUACAGACCUACAGCAGUGCAAGUGUUCUCCAAAGGUAGGCUAUGCAUUAUGAGGAGUCAAAUUUAAAAAGUCUCUUCCUUCCUAUGCCAGGUAGAUGUCUAUUAAAGACUUUUGCUAACAUAAGCAGCACUGAAUGAGAGCAACAGGCAAACAAACAUUCUUUAUAGCUACAGCUAUGAUAAAGAGAGGACACAGAGAUUAUGGUCAACAGUGCUGCACCAACUAAACUUAGUCAACUGAACUAAAUUUACUGUUAAUUCACAAAAGUAAUGCUGAAAUAUGUAUUUGCUGGAAGAAAAAAGACUUCUUAUCCAGAGCAAAACCAGAUUAUAUAGGCUGAGGUAGGGUGUUGGUGGAGAAGCUUUGGUCCAUAAUUAAUUCUCAGUGUGAUCACUAGAAAAUUAUCUGCAGAGAACCUAGGUGAAUUCAUAGCUUGAAAAUGAUAUGAAGAAAAAUUUGGAUAACAAAGAUGAAAGUGUUCAAAAGAGGUUAAUUAUACCACAAACUAUAUAAAUAUUAACAUACAUUUCUGCAAGCUAUCAAAGAAAUAAAGGAACAUUUUGGCUUUUUAAACAUAGAAUAAAAAAUGAUGUGAAAAUGGCAUUAAAAAUGUGAAAUGGCAACAUCAAGGAAGAAAUAGAAGAUAUCCAUAAAACUAUUACAGAAAGAAAAAGUCUAAGUAAAACAGCAGAUUGUCAUGAAUAAGGAGGUAAAUAAGGAGAAAAAAAAUGAGUGCAAUGAAAUUAUAAAAAGAUGAACACGUUUAAAACAAGAUCCCCUAGUGUUAUCAUACAUAUGUAUAAUAUGAGACUUGGAUGAAGCGAAUAGAAGAAAUGUCUACUAAUGGGGAAAGGAGGGCUAAUAGUGCAGACUUCUUAAAUACAUUUGUAGACCAGAGGAGUAAACUGAAUACACCACUACUGAGUGACUGAGCUUCUAAUGUGAGAUUUUAUUAUUUUUAACAUUUUUGCAAGUAACCAAAAAUGUUUUGCUUGGUUCACAUGAAAGUUUGAUAUAUGUGUGGUUAGUAAGCUCCAUAUUCCAACAUUUGUGUUCAAGCACAAGAUCAAAUAAAUUAAUAUAAAUAAAUACAGUGUGAAUUCAUUAACCUGUGUAGAUGCCUGACUGAUUAUUGUGCAAAAUAAUUCAAAUGGAUGUUCAUUUUUGAAAGAAUGAAUAUGCUAGAAUUUGUUAUGGAAUUACUGAUGUUUUUACUACUGAUUAUAUUUUAUUUCUAGGCUGGAAUCCAAUCAAUAGCAUGCCUUUCACUGCCUGAUUCAGAACAUCACAAGAAUAAAACAGGAGUUAAGCAAAAGGAAGAUUAAAUUAACAUUCUAAUGUUGAUAAAGGAGAUAGUGUGUAAUACGGCAAUAAUGAGAUUCCCAUGACAGCACGUCAAUAUUGAAUAUAAAUCCAACCACAGCCAUUGGCAUCACUUACCAACCCCACAGCAGGCCACCUUCCCUGAGGCAGAGACUGUAAUAGCUUUUGAGGCACAGAAAGUGUGACUCCAGCAAUCGAGCAGGUUUAGCAAAAGAGAAUAGGAUUCCUACAUUCUCAGUUCAUCUCUACAAACUCACGUAUUAAAACAAUCAUUCAGUUCUGGGACAAGGUCCACCUGUAUUCAUUUAGUGAAGUCCCUCCACAUAUUUGCUGUUACAAUAUUAAUUUUAAAGAAUGAAGUUAUAUUUACAUGUGUUUUUCAAACAUUUAGCUAAUGGUGAUAGAUGUGUUUUCACUGAGAUCAUCAAUAUAUAUCUUAAAUACAUUGCCCCAAAUAAAGCAUUAUUUUACAGAAAAUAUAGAGAUGUUUUCAUGUAAAUAAAUGCAAGUCACAACUUAUAUAAUUAUAUAUUUUGUUUAAUAAUUAAACCAUUGGGAAUUUAUGGAUCACAUAAUUCAAAUUCCUCUGCAUGGUCAGGAGAAGCUGUGUCCUGUCCUUCCUUACCUUGGUUUUUUCUAUUCUGCCGCAUGCCAAAUGCACUACUCCUGACUCAAGGCUUUAUAAGUCUUUUCCUGGAAUAGCCCAGCCAUAGUCACAUGCCUCAUCUUUCCCUUCAUUGUAGGCCUGAAUUACUGCCUUUACUGCACCUAUUUAAAAUAUUCUCUUGUUAUUCUCUAUCUACUUACCUGAGUUUAUUUUUCUUGAUGACAUUUUUAAGAUCAGACAUUAUACACUAUUUUAUUAUUUGUUUUUUAUUAAUCAUUAGAUUAAUAAUCCACAAAGGCAGGAAACUUGUUUUGUUUGCCUUUCUAUCCCCAGAAUUUAUAUAGCAGCUACUAUUGUAAAGUAGAUGCAUAAUAGCAUAAAUGAAUGAAUAAGUAGUUGAAUGCAUGAACAAAGGAAUGAGAAAAAAAAUUCUAGUUAACAUUUUAUUAAUGCUAUCUUCUGAAUGUGGGUGUGUGUGUAUGCAUAUUUCUUGUUUUCCGGGCAUUAUUUCGUCAUGCAGUCAGGACAUAUGUAAAAUACUCCACUUUGUUUAGGGUGAUAUAGUGCUUCAGAGUGUUAAUUAAAUUUAGAUAGACCCAUGUUCAAACUUCAGCCAUACAACUUAUUAUCAAUCACAUGAUAUUGGCUGAGAAAUAGUCUCCAAAUUUACUUAUGUCUUUAAUGAUGAGAAAAGGCUCAAUAGACAUUCUCUUUUAUCAGUGUUAUUGUGAAUAAAGAGACUUGACCAUAGAAAUGUACCUACUUUAGAGAAAUGGAAUCUAUCACUAAUUUUUUCUUGAAGACAGCUGAUGAAGCUUACUCUGUAAUUAAAUAGAAGGCAGUGUAUUUUAACAUUUAACUUUUCCUCACUCUAAUUUUUUGGAUAGAACCAUAUGUUGAUAUUCAUUCUUAAACUCAUUGUAAUUUAAAUUCUAAUAUCCCUGGCUUAAAUAUAAGAAAUGAUUCAAGACAUUAUAAUUUUGUUAUAGAGACAAUAAAAAUAUCUGCAAUAGUAAUUCGUUGUAUGUAUAUGUAAUAAUUUUUAUUUACCAUCAUAAUAUCCAGUGUUUUGCCUCAUGACAUAGUGCAGGCUUGGCUUUUUUUAUUAAUAGAUUUUUUUUAGACUGGUUGUAGUUCACAACAAAAUUUACCCAAAGCUGUGUAAAAUACCCAUAAAUUACCCUGCCUAGACAAAUACAUAGCCUUUUCUAUCUCCCACUAGAGUGGUACAUUUUGUUACAAUUUUUGAACUUGCAUUUACUCAUCAUUAUCAGACAAAUUUCACGUUUCCAAACUGCAUUUAAACAAAUGUAGCUCUCAUUUUAGUUUCAUGCGGAGUAGAUUCACUGCGCUAAAAAUCCUCUGUGCUCUGCCUAUUUAUCCCUCCCUCUCUCUAACAUUUGGCAACCAUUCAUCUUUUUACUGCCCCAUCAUAUGGCCUUUUUGAGAAUGUCAUAUGGUUGGAAUCAUACAGUGGAUUUUCUGUUCACUUAGUAACAAGCAUUUAAGUUUCUGCCAUGUCUUUAUAGCUCAUUUCUUUUUAGAUCUAUAUAAUAUUCCAUUGUUUGGAUGUUCCUCAGUUUAUGUAUCCGUUCACCUACUGAAGAACAUCUUGGUUGCUUCCAAGUUUUGGUCAUUAUGAAUAAAACUGCUAUAAACAUCCUUCUGCAGCUUUUUAUGUGGACAUAAGUUUUUAGCUCCUUUGGGUAAAUACCAAGUAGCACGAUUGCAGAACCAUAUGGUAAGUGCUAUAGUUUGAAUAUACUGUUUGUACCCACCAAAUCUCAUGCUAAAAUUUGAUUCCAAUGUUAGAGGUCGGCUAAAUGGGCGGCAUUUGAGUGACAGUGGCAGAUUCCUCAUGAAUAGAUUAAUGCCCUCCUUCAGGCGUGAGUUCUUACUCUUAGUUCCCAGGACAGCUGAUUGUUAAACAAGAAACUGGCACCUUAUCCUCUUUCUCUCUCUUGCUUCCUUUCUCACCGUGUAAUCUCUGCACAUUCCAGUUCCUCUUUGCCUUCUACCAUGAGUGGAAACAGCUGGAGGCUCUUACAAGAUACCUAAUCUUGAACUUUUUCAGACAUCAGAAACAUAAUGCAAAUAAACUUGAUCUUGGUAAAUUACCUAGCCUUCGGUAUUUCUUUAUAGCAACACAAAACAGACUAAGACAAAGGAUGUUUAGUUUUGUAAGAAAUUGCCAAACAAAAUGUCUUCCUAAAUUGCUGUACCAUUUUUCAUUCCCACCAGUAAUGAACAUAGUUUCCUGUAUUUCCACAUACUUGACAGCAUUUGGUAUUUCCACAUCCUUAACAGCUUUUGGUAUCGUCAGUGUUCUGAAAUUGGACAGUUCUAAUAUGUGUGUAGUAGUCUCACAUUGUUUUAAUUUGCAUUUCCCUGAUGACAUAAGAUAUAAAACAUCUUUUCAUAUGUUAUUUUCCAUCUGCAUAUCUUCUUUGGUGAAGUGUCUGUUAAGGUCUUUGGCCCACUUUUGCAUCAAAUUGUUUGCUUUUUUUAUGGUUGAGUUUUGAAGUGUUACUCAUCUUACUUGGAUAACAGUGCUUUAUCAGAUGUGUCUUUUGCAAAUAUUUUCUCCCAGUCGGUGACUUUUCUUUUCAUUAUAUUGAAAGUAUCUUUUGCAAUGCAGGAUUUUAAUUUUAUUCAAGUCUAGCUUACCAGUUCUUGUUUUUUUAUGAAUAAUAUCCUUGGUAUUAUAUCUAAAAUGUCAUCAGCAAACCGAAGGUCAUUUAGAUUUUAUUCUAUGUGAUUUUCUAGACAUUUCUAUAGCUUUAUAUUCUACAUGUAUCUGUGAUUCAUAAGUUUACUUUUCUAAACAGCAAAAGGACUGCAUCUAGAUUUAUUUAUUUAUUAAUUUUUUGCAUGUGAAUCUACUGUUGUUUCAGCACCACUUGUUGAAAAGACUAUCUUUUCUCCAUUGAAAUGCAUUGGUUUGAUUGUUGAUACAGUUGAGAUUUUUAUUCCUUUCAAAUCUCACAUUGAAAUUUGAUCACCAAUUUCAGAGGUGGUGACUGAAGGGAAGUGUUUGGGCAAUGGAAGCAGAUCCCUCAUACACGGCUUGGUUCCAUCAUUGUGAUAAUGAAUUUCUUGUUGUACUAUUAGUUCCCACAAGAGCAGAUUUUUAAAAAGAGCCUAGCAUCUCCCUCCCCUCUCUCUUCAUUACCCCCUUGCCAUAUGAUGCCUGCUCUCCUUCGGCUUCCACCACAAGCAGAAGCUUCCUGAAGCUCUCAUCAGAAGCAGAUGCUGGUUCCAUGCUUCUUGUACAGCCUGCAGAACUGUGAAUUCCAUUGACAUGGUUUGGCCCUGUAUCCCCACCCAAAUCUUAUCUUGAAUUAUACUCCCAUAAUUCCCACGUGUUGUGGAGGGACCCAGUGGAAGAUAACUAAAUCACGGGGGCAGUUUCUCUCACACUGUUCUCCUGGUAGUGGAUAAGUCUCACAAGAUCUGAUGGUUUGAUAAGGGGAAACCCGUUUCACUUGGCUCUCAUCCCCUCUCUUGCCCGCUGCCAUGUAAGAUGUGCCUUUCACCUUCCACUGUGAUUGUGAGGCCUCCUGAGCCACGUGGAACUGAAAGUCCAAUUAAACCUCUUUCUUUAGUAAAUUGCCAAUUCUUGGGUAUGUUUUUAUCAGCAGCAUGAAAAUAGACUAAUACACAAAUAAAUCUCUUUUUUAAGAUAAGUUAGUCUCAGGAAUUCCUUUAGAGCAAUGCAGAGAUUGCAACACUUGUCAAAGAUUAGUUGACUGUAUUCGUGUAGGUGUAAUUCUAGGAUUUCUAGUCUGUUCUAUUGAUCCAUUUGUCUGUUUUUGCCAGUACCGCAUUGUCUUGCUACUGUAUCUCUAUAGUAAGUCUUGAAGUCAGGUAGCAUCAGUCUUCAACUUUGUUCUUCUCUUUUAUUAUUAUGUUGCAUAUCUUGGGUCUUAUGUCUCUCCAUAGAAACUUCAGAAUCAAUUUGCCAAUAUCCACAAAAAAAACUUUCUGGUGUUGCAAUGGGUAUUGCAUUCUAUUAUAGCUAUAGAUUAAGAUGGAAAGACCUGACAUCUGGAUACCUUGACACUAGUGAUUCUUUACAUUCAUAAAUAUAGAAUGUAAUUGACAGAGAGUAUUGAAAUCUCCAAGUAAACUAGUAGAUUCAUCUAUUUCCCACGUGUUGUGGAGGGACCCAGUGGAAGAUAGUUCUAUAGGAUUUUGCCUCAUAUUUUGAUGCUUUAUUGCUAGGCUUAUACGUGUUAAACUGUUAUUUUUUGGAUAAUUGAAUAUUUUGUCAUAUGUAACACCAUUUUUAUCCCUGAAAACUUUUCUUCUUCUAUCUGAAAUUAAUAUAACUACGCUCAAUUUAUUUUUAUUGGUUUUAGCAUCAUACAUCUUUACUUCCCCAUAUACUUUUUAUUCUAUAUGUAUCUUUAUAUAUAAAGUAAGCUUCUUCUAAACAAC
rnacentral:lncRNA from 1 species